AACAUUUACACGUAAAGGUCACCUAACAAAUCACUCUGCUUUGGACAGCCAUCUAAAGCCACUGCUCUGCCAAGUGUCCAGGGAGCCCUGGAACUCUAUAUCCUGGGACAUGCACAGUGUGUGGAGAUGUGAGGCAGGCAACAGAGCUGCCAGUGAGGAACAAAGCAUUCAGCAAACAGCAAAGGCUCGCAAGAGUUAGCAGGGAGCCAAUGUCAAUUCAGAGUGACGCCAUGAUCACAUGUACACUCCAGAGGCAAGAGGAAAGGGGAGGAAGGGACCAUCAAAGAGAGAAGGGGCCAUCUGUAGGCGGACAGAGGCAGGGGCAUGAACACGCUUGUCACCAGACAGAUGCCGGGUCAGUUGGGCGACUUGAAGUCCUCCUAACUGGAGUCGGGAAAGGGAAGGACAGAGAAGACAAAGAGGAGGCAGACAUUUGCAGAGAAAUCAUGCGAGGAAGUUAGCAACUGAGAGAUGGAGAGAAAGCGUCCAAACCAUUCUGGGUGCUUCCGGAGGAAAUGGCUCCUGCUGGCAGUGGGGGCUGGGCACAACACAGACAAGGGUUUGAGCGACUUCACAAGGACAGUGGCAGAGGCAGUGGAACAAGGCCUUUGGAAUAUGGUGAAAGGGCUUCCCAUGGAGAAGAGAAUUAUGGAAUGAGAGACAAGCGGAGAGCAACUAUGCCAAACUGUCUGGAAACUGGAAACCUGAGACCGCGGUGUUGACGAGUUUGGCUUGUGAGAGGCCUCUUCCCUUGGCUUGCAGACAGAUGCCCUCUUGUUACCUGUUCACAUGAUCUGCCCUCUGUAUGUGCCCUGCUGGUGUUUUCCCGUGUGUCCGACCUUCUUUUGUUAGCCAGAGUUCUAUUCCUGUGGCAAAUCUCUGCAAUAAGUCAAUAAAGGAGAAGGAAAAGGUCA